rnacentral:misc_RNA from 1 species
UGAUACAUCAAAAGCUCAAACUUUGCAGCAGUUACCAGAAUUCUCAGCCACAAAAGAAAAAUCAACUACUAAUUCUGCAAAGAACACUUUCCCCUUAAGUUAACAGAAAAAAAUUUGCAUCAAACCACAUCUAAAAAAGCUACCUAAAACAGAAAAAAAUCCUCCUCAAGACAUGAAAUAGGUUUAAUGCUAUAAACACAAACAAAUCUUACAAAAGUUUCUUACAUCAAAUCCACAAUUAGUGUCAUACCAUAAAAGUUAGAUGGCAAAACACAUAUAAUGCUUUUCCUGUAAGGAUUUCUUGCAUGCAAAGCAUUUUGCUUUGCAUCAUUAUUUUCACUUCAGGUACAUGUAAGGUACGGAAAUUGGACGAAUACACAGAUUAUUGUUUACAACUGAGCUUCAUCAAGUUGCAAAAAUGAGCAAAAAAGAUAAGGGGAAAAAAAUAAAACCUGAAACACAAGAGUGGCAUAGAGAGGGCUCAAGCCCUUUUCAACUUUGCUAUUUCAAAGGAUGCCAUUCAGCCAAAUG